rnacentral:rRNA from 1 species
GACAGAGGGGGCAAGCGUUGCUCGGAAUUACUGGGCGUAAAGGGCGCGUAGGCGGGAUGGCAAGUCGGUCGUGAAAUCCCUCGGCUCAACCGAGGAACGUCGAUCGAUACUGCUGUUCUUGAGGAUUGCAGAGGAGACUGGAAUUCCCGGUGUAGCGGUGAAAUGUAUAGAGAUCGGGAGGAACACCGGUGGCGAAGGCGGGUCUCUGGGCAAUUCCUGACGCUGAGGCGCGAAAGCGUGGGGAGCAAACGGG